rnacentral:rRNA from 1 species
CACAUGACUCUCGGCAACGGAUAUCUCGGCUCUUGCAUCGAUGAAGAACGUAGCAAAAUGCGAUACCUGGUGUGAAUUGCAGAAUCCCGUGAACCAUCGAGUUUUUGAACGCAAGUUGCGCCCGAGGCCUUGUGGCCGAGGGCACGUCUGCCUGGGCGUCACG